UCUGCACAUAGCCAUAGUCCAGAUUUCCGUGUAGUUUGUGGCAUAGAUGGAUGUGUCAAAGAAUAUCGUGUUUACAAUUCAUUUUGGUAUCACAUUCUUCGAACACACUCUGACCACCUUGGCAAUGGACUAUGCAGUGGAUCGACUAUGACACAAAAAUCUGUAAGUUCUAGGAGGGAACCCUCAUCAUUGGUGAGAGGUCUGAGUAACAUGUGGGCCUACAGGACUGAUCCAGUGGUCGAAAACCAGCCAACAAGCCAGCCAAAAAUGGAUGCGGCUGUAGACACCAGAUUGAACUCAGGAGAAGAUGCAGUGAUUGAGCAAAACGCAAUACAGCAUGAUCCAGACAGUGUGUGCCCGUGUUGUGUCAAACUUGACAGCAGUUUUAUUACACUUUAGUGUCAAUAAAUACAUUUCUUAAACU